rnacentral:rRNA from 1 species
AUGGCUGGGGGGAAGGGAGAGGAAGUGAAGCUGUUGGGGGCGUGGGCUAGCCCGUACGUGGCCAGGGUGAAGCUAGCGCUCCACCUCAAGGGCGUGAGCUACAAGUACAUGGAGGAGGACCUCACCAACAAGAGCGAGCUGCUCCUCCGCUCCAACCCCGUCCACACGAUGGUUCCCGUGCUCAUCCACGGCGGCAAACCCAUCUGUGAGUCCCAGGUCAUCGUCCAGUACAUCGACGAGGCCUUCCAUGCCGCGGCCAAGGCCCUCCUUCCCGCCGACCCUUACGAGCGCGCCGUUGCCCGCUUCUGGGCCGCCUACAUCGACGACAAGGUGUUGGGGCCAUGGGAAAUGGUCUUGAAGGCGAAGACGGGCAAGGAGAGGGCGGUCUGGGCGAGGCGGACGUUUGAAGCGGUGGAUGUGCUGGAGGAAGGCCUCGUGAAGUGCUGCAAGGGCAAGGGGUUGUUUGGCGGGGACGACAUCGGCUACCUCGAUGUCCUGCUCGGGGGCAUGGUCCCGUGGCUGUACGCGACCGAGAAGAUCUCUGGUCACAACUUCUUCGACGCCAGCAAGGUCCCGCUGCUGGCGUCAUGGAUGGAGCGUUUUACCCAUCUUGACGCUGCCAAGGCGGUGUUCCAGGAGCAGGACGUCGACAUCCUGGUUGAAUUCGCUCGGUCGGUACUCUUGACCGGUGCUGCAACCAGCUCAUAA